AAUGGUUCAUUCAAAUUUCUGCCCUAUCAACUUUCGAUUGUUGGGUCUUGGCCCAACAAUGGGUUCAACGGGUAACGGGGAAUUAGGGUUCUAUUCCGGAGAGGGAGCCUGAGAAACGGUACCACAUCCAAGGAAGGCAGCAGGCGCGCAAAUUACCCAAUCCUGAUUCAGGGAGGUAGUGACAAUAAAUACUGAUACAGGGCUCUUUUGGGUCUUGUAAUUGGCAAUGAGUACAAUUUAAAUCCCUUAACGAGGAACAAUUGGAGGGCAAGUCUGGUGCCAGCAGCCGCGGUAAUUCCAGCUCCAAUAGCGUAUAUUCAAAGUUGUUGCAGUUAAAAAGCUCGUAGUUGAACUUCAGAUCUGGUUGAGUGGUCCGCCUAACGGUGUGUUACUGCUUGACUGGGUACUUGUCUCUUGGUGAACCGUUGUGUCCUUUAUUGGAUGGC
rnacentral:rRNA from 1 species